rnacentral:rRNA from 1 species
UGCAUAUCAAAAAGCGGAGGAAAAGAAACCAACAGGGAUUGCCUUAGUAGCGGCGAGUGAAGCGGCAAAAGCUCAAAUUUGAAAUCUGGCACUUUCAGUGUCCGAGUUGUAAUUUGAAGAAGGUAUCUUUGGGUCUGGCUCUUGUCUAUGUUUCUUGGAACAGAACGUCACAGAGGGUGAGAAUCCCGUGCGAUGAGAUGUCCCAGACCUAUGUAAAGUUCCUUCGAAGAGUCGAGUUGUUUGGGAAUGCAGCUCUAAGUGGGUGGUAAAUUCCAUCUAAAGCUAAAUAUUGGCGAGAGACCGAUAGCGAACAAGUACAGUGAUGGAAAGAUGAAAAGAACUUUGAAAAGAGAGUGAAAAAGUACGUGAAAUUGUUGAAAGGGAAGGGCUUGAGAUCAGACUUGGUAUUUUGUAUGUUACUCUCUCGGGGGUGGCCUCUACAGUUUACCGGGCCAGCAUCAGUUUGGGCGGUAGGACAAUUGCAAAGAAAUGUGGCACUGCCUCGGUAGUGUGUUAUAGUCUUUGUCGAUACUGCCAGCCUAGACUGAGGACUGCGGCUUCGGCCUAGGAUGUUGGCAUAAUGAUCUUAAGUCGCCCGUCUUGAACAACGGACC